UACGUAGGUGGCAAGCGUUGUCCGGAUUUACUGGGUGUAAAGGGCGUGUAGCCGGGCUUACAAGUCAGAUGUGAAAUCCGGGGGCUCAACCCCCGAACUGCAUUUGAAACUGUAGGUCUUGAGUAUCGGAGAGGCAGGCGGAAUUCCUAGUGUAGCGGUGAAAUGCGUAGAUAUUAGGAGGAACACCAGUGGCGAAGGCGGCCUGCUGGACGACAACUGACGGUGAGGCGCGAAAGCGUGGGGAGCAAACGGG
rnacentral:rRNA from 1 species